AUCAAGGUAUAUGAUCUGCUUUUAAAAUUUAAUACAAAGUGAAAAUUUUUCUAUGAUACAUUCUUCUGUAACAUAUUUGAAAGUUUUAAUAAUCAAAAAGGAUGGCCUCAUGAUAAAAAUAUGAAAUAGUACAUUAACUUUUAUGAAAAGUAGCAGUCCUCUGUGGCAAUCUCAGACUCUUUCCUCAGAGGAAGCUGAUCUUUUGGUGAUCUUUUCCAUAUCUUUAAAUAACGUGCUUGUAACUGAUUCUUGAUUUAUCAACUUUACACAUUAUUGCUUGAUUGCUACUUAUAUUAAAUGAGAAAUUAGCUUCUUAAGACAUUCCUUUCCAGCCUGCUCUUUCCAGUAUAGUUUGGCACUAUGAUAGUGCCUUUGCUACUUUUCUAAAUCUAAAUGAUCUAUUUAGAUUUCUUUCUCUUCUAUUAAACACCCCUCCACAUAUAUAUAUAUAUGUUAUAUAUGUGUAGAUAAAUAUACUUAUGUGUAUAACACGAUGCAGUGGAAUUAUAUUUUACAGAGCAGUCAAAUUUUUCUUUUUUUGGCCACAUCUAUGGCAUAUUAAAGUUCCCAGGCUAGGGGUCCAAUCGGAGCUACAGCCCCUGGCCUACACCACACCCACAGCAACAUUGAUCCGAGCUGUGGCCAUGACCUACACCACAGCUCCUGGCAAUGCUGGAUCCCUGACCCACUGAGCGAGGUCAGGGAUUGAACCUGCAUCCUAAUGGAUACUAGUUGGAUUCGAUUCCACUGCGCCACGCUGGGAACUCAUGAAAAAUUUCUUUAAAUGUCUGUCAAGUAAAUUAUACCUGGUUUUGUUUAUAUAGUUCUAUAUAAUGUAUGUAAAUGGUGUAAGAUACCUAAUGCUGGAUAUUUCAAAAUUUCAUAGAGUAAUCAUAUUUGUAAAUUAGAGUGUUCCUGCGUCUCUCUGCUCGGGAUGGUCAAGCCUAUUUGUGGAGAUACGGUUUGCUAACUCUUCUUCUUAUUUCUCAUAUUUACCUUUUAGAUGAUUUUUUUCAAUGUUUUCCCAAUUGAUUUUUCAAUUUGUUUCUGGAGGAUAUAGACAAAGCUCUCUCUACCCUGUUCUUUGGUUGCCUAAACAGUGUUUUUACUUCUUGUCAAUAGUAGACAGCCCCCUAAGAUAAUCAACACAUUCUUUCCAUGGAUUUUGCUUGUAUGCACUGAUUACGUCAAGUUUAUUAUUUGUUUUCCUUAUCAGAGGAAUCAUACCUUCAUUGGUGACGGGGUGUGGUCAGACAAGAGAGAGGCACUAUUUAAAUUAUUUCUUUUUCUUUCCUUGUCUGGCUCAUUAUAGAGUUGAAAUUUGGGGGAGUGAAAUUUUAAAAUUUAAAUAUAACAUAUAUACAGUAAGGUGAUAAAUUUUGCAUAUGUCUUUUGAUACAUUUUUAUGAAGCUGUGGUCACAUAGCUGCUACCUGGAUUAAGAUAGACAACAUUACCAGGGCCCUGGAAGCAGUCAUUACUCAUACCAUCCAGUGUUAACCAGUAUACUGACUUCUAUCAGAAUUGUUGUUACCUUUGGAUUCCUAACUGUUUUUGAAUUCAGAUGGUAUCAUGGUAUUUUCUUCCAUGUCUGAUUUCUUUCAUUUAGUUUUUGAGCUUCAUACGUGUUGUUGCGUGUGGGAGUAGCUCCUUCUUUUUUAUAACUACAUAGUAUCCCCUAAUGAAUGUAUCCCAUUUUUUUCAGUAUACUGAUGAUUAAAAUUUGAGUUGCCUCCAAUUUUGGAUGAUUUUUGACUAAUGUUUCUAAGUAAAAGUUUUAUACAAGUCUUUUGAUGGACAUAUGGAUGCAUUUCUCUUAGUUACAUGUGUAGGAAUAGACUAUUGGGUCGUUGGGUUUAUAUGUAUGUUCCACUUUAAUAGAGCAGUUUCCCAAAGUGAUUGUACCCGUUUAUACUCUCAAGAGCAAUGCGUGAGAGUUCCGAUUGUUCUACGUCUUUGCCAACACUUGGUACUCUCUAAAAUUAAAAAGAGCGAUGUUUUGAUGAGUGGGUAGUAUGUAAUUUUCUUUUUUAUUAAUAAGCUUAAAAAAUUAAGGUUUACACCGUGGUUACCAUGCAUACAGAAAAGAGUGCAGAUCGUAAGUGUACAGCUCCCUGAGUUUACAAAGUGAGCACACCCAUAUAAUUCGUAAGCAGGUCAAGCAGCAGAACAGUAACACCACUGUAGAAAUCUCUCCGUUCCUCCCACUCCGUCGCCCUCAUGCUCACAUUUUUUAACAGCCUUAUUGAGACAUAAUUGACACAUAGUAAACUGCCCAACUUAACAACGGUUUGAUAAGUUUUGACUUAACUGUAUACCUGUGAAACCAUCAUCAGAGUGGAGAUAAUGAACUGUCUCUAGGCUUUAAAAGUUUUCCUCAUGGGAAUUGAUCCCAUUAUACUUCUCUCUCCUCUUUCCACUCACUUGUCCUUGGUUCCUCCCCACCCCACCCCCGCCCCUUGCUGCUGCAUCCUCAGGCAACUGUUAAUCUACUUUCUAUCACUGUAGAGUAAUUUCCAUUUUUUAGAAUUUUAAUGUAAUUCUUUAUCGUACAACGUGUCCUUUUUUGGAUCUGACUUCUUUCAUUUAGAAUACUUAUUUUACAGUUUAUAUUGUGUGUAUCAUCAGCUAAUUUCUUUUUAUCGCUGAGUAGUUUUCCAUUUUAUGGAUAUACUGUUUAUCUAUUCACCUGUUGAUGGAACAUUUAUUUUUUUCUAGACUGUGACUAACAUACCCAGUAUCUUUAUGCUUAAAAACUUGCUUUUUUUUCUUUUUAGGGCUGUACCGCCUGGGAACCUCCGUAUGCCGCGGGAGCGGCCAAGAAAUGGCAAAAAGACAAAAACAAAACAAAACAAAAAAGAAAUGGAAUCACAGCCUGAGAAUAACUGCUUUGAAUUUUUAAUUUCCUCUAUCAAUUUUACCAAUUUUAAGACAGUCUUUAAAAUGGUAGUUGUGGGAGUUCCUGCUGUGGCACAGUAGGUUAAGAGUCUGACUGCCGCAGCUCGGGUCACUGUGGACUUGAGGAUUCGAUCCCCUGCCUGCCACUGUGGGUUAAAGGAGCUAGCAUUCCUGAAGCUGUUGGGAUAGGCUGCAACUGCAGCUCAGAUUUAAUCCCUGGCUCAGGAACUUCCAUAUGCCGUGGCUGUGACCAUUAAGAAAAAAAAAGGUAGUUAUGUAUUGGUUUCUUUUUUAAUUUUUAAUAUUAAUAUGUAAAUAUCUUUUAAUAUUUUACUUGAUCUCUGUCAAGGGUUUAUUGUGUGAAUGUUGAUGUUUCCUUAGACCAUAAGGUGAAUGGGAAUCUAUGCUCUAGAAAAAUUUACUACAUUUAAUUUUUUUUUUGUAAAGUACUAUUUUAAAAGUAGUUUAAAAAAUGCCAAUUUUCAUGUUUUGAGAAAGUAUUUAUUGAGCCCUCUAAGAUCUAGAUACUGUGGAUAUAGCACUGCCCAAAAAA
rnacentral:lncRNA from 1 species